GUAAGCGUGUGUGUGUGUGCGUGUGCGUGUCUGCCUGUCUGUAAAGGACGCCAAACGUACUGUUGGCGUCUCCCUCCACUCAUCGAGCACCCCACCACCCCACCCCACACCACACCACACCACACCAUACACCACCACCCCUGUCCCAUCCCAUCCCAUCCCGCCCUCUUCUGCGCAUCGUUCUCGCCUGCACACGGUUCCUCUUUUUCAUCUAUUAUUCGUCCGUUUCUUCGUCUUCAUAGUUGCCGUUGUUGUUUCGACCUCAUCGCGGACGGCCUACUCCGUCCCACUCUCGCGUGUUCGUGUGCACAGACCCCUUGUCUUCCGUUGUGAUUUUGUUUUCUGUGGCUCCUCUUCCCCAUCUGUCCUCCCGUUCGAGUUGUUCUGCUGUGCGUGUGUGGCUUUGGGGGCGGGGGAGGGAGGCGGGCGUGGUUUUACGGGGGAAGGGUAUCUUGUGUUGUCCUUGACUGUUGUGGGUGCUCACCUUUGGUGUGGCCACGUGUCCUCGCACGAAGGCUCGUUUCUCCGCGUCUGUGUCUGCCGGCAGUGGCGCUCGCACUCCUACCACCAACUCCUACGACCCCCCAUCCAACCUCGCCAUAGACACACACACAUAUAUAUAUUCCUUUUCAGCGUUUCUUUCUUUUCUUGGAGCCCUCCUCUUCCCCAUCCCAUCUUUUUUUUUUUGGUUGCCUCCGCGUCGGGAUCGCCUUGCACCUCUGUGCCCCCUCCCUCCCGACCUCCAUCUCACCACCACCACCGCCACCACCUCUCGCGUCUUCGGAAUCGUCGUCGUCAUCGUGCCUUUGCGAAGACAUCUCCGGUGGGGCUGCCCUCCUUUCUUUACUUUCUCUGUGUGUGUACCAGCGCCUGCGUGUGUGCCAGCGCCGUGUUCGCUUGCACUC
rnacentral:misc_RNA from 1 species